rnacentral:rRNA from 1 species
AUACUCCUGCGGGAGGCAGCAGUGGGGAAUAUUGGACAAUGGGCGCAAGCCUGAUCCAGCCAUGCCGCGUGAGUGAUGAAGGCCCUAGGGUUGUAAAGCUCUUUCACCGGUGAAGAUAAUGACGGUAACCGGAGAAGAAGCCCCGGCUAACUUCGUGCCAGCAGCCGCGGUAAUACGAAGGGGGCUAGCGUUGUUCGGAUUUACUGGGCGUAAAGCGCACGUAGGCGGACUAUUAAGUCAGGGGUGAAAUCCCGGGGCUCAACCCCGGAACUGCCUUUGAUACUGGUAGUCUUGAGGUCGAGAGAGGUGAGUGGAAUUCCGAGUGUAGAGGUGAAAUUCGUAGAUAUUCGGAGGAACACCAGUGGCGAAGGCGGCUCACUGGCUCGAUACUGACGCUGAGGUGCGAAAGCGUGGGGAGCAAACAGGAUUAGAAACCCUUGUAGUCCCAUGA